rnacentral:rRNA from 1 species
AGUGAACGCUGGCGGUAGGCCUAACACAUGCAAGUCGAACGGCAGCACAGUAAGAGCUUGCUCUUACGGGUGGCGAGUGGCGGACGGGUGAGGAAUACAUCGGAAUCUACUCUUUCGUGGGGGAUAACGUAGGGAAACUUACGCUAAUACCGCAUACGACCUACGGGUGAAAGCAGGGGAUCUUCGGACCUUGCGCGAUUGAAUGAGCCGAUGUCGGAUUAGCUAGUUGGCGGGGUAAAGGCCCACUAAGGCGGCGAUCCGUAGCUGGUCUGAGAGGAUGGUCGGCCGCACGAGAAGUGAGACACGGUCCAGAGGCCUGCGGGAGGCAGCAGUGGGGUAUGUUAGACAGUGGUCGCAAACCUGAUCCAACCAGACCGCGUGGGUGGAGGAGGCCUUCGGGUUGUGAAGCCCUUUUGUUGGGAAAGAAAAGCAGCAGGUUAAUACGCCGCUGUUCUGACGGUACUCAAAGAAUAAGCACCGGCUAACUUCGUG